rnacentral:misc_RNA from 1 species
UUUCCGUGGGUGAACCUGCGGAAGGAUCAUUAUCGUAUAACCGAGGUGCGAGGGCUGUCGCUGACCCGAAAGGUCGUGCACGCCUGAGUGCCCUCACACACAUCCAUCUCACCCCUAUGUGCACCACCGCGUGGGUCCCCCUUUGGCUUGUUCGGAGGGGGGCUUACGUUUUCACACAAACUUUGUAUGCAGUGUAGAAUGUAUUUUUUGUUUUUGCGAUCACGCAAUCAAUACAACUUUCAACAACGGAUCUCUUGGCUCUC